AAUCAACGCUGGCGGCGCGUCUAAUACAUGCAAGUCGAGCGAGAAGACGUAGCAAUACGUUUGUAAAGCGGCGAACGGGUGAGGAAUACAUGGGUAACCUACCCUCGAGUGGGGAAUAACUAGCCGAAAGGUUAGCUAAUACCGCGUACGCUUCUUGGACUUCGGUUCAGGGAGGAAAGCGAUGCCGAGGGUAUCGCGCUCUUGGAUGGGCUCAUGUCCUAUCAGCUUGNGGUGAGGUAACGGCUCACCAAGGCUUCGACGGGUAGCUGGUCUGAGAGGACGAUCAGCCACACUGGCACUGCGACACGGGCCAGACUCCUACGGGAGCAGCAGUAAGGAAUAUUGCGCAAUGGGCGAAAGCCUGACGCAGCGACGCCGCGUGGGGGAUGAAGGUCUUCGGAUU
rnacentral:rRNA from 1 species